CUGAUGAGGCCAUGAGGAUAAACCGAAAACUGACGUUUGCCAACCAAAAACAAGAGGCAACGAUUAUGUCUCUGAAAAAGGAGCUGGACGAGGUCAAUAACAAGCUUAUUAAGGUCAAGAUGACGUCAGUCCGCUAUGAGAAGACCCACAGUCAAGCAGAGGGACAGCAGCAAGUGCAGGAGCUGCAGCAGAGGCUCAUCAUGGUAAAACCCUCCAUAAAAUCAAACAUUUCAAACCCCAAACCAAAGUUGAAGACAAAAUGUGCUUCCUCUUUUUUUUCAAGGAAAAAGAAAUAAACAGAAAACUUGAGAAGGAAAAUUUAGCAGAAAGGGCAGAAAAGCAGGUAAGAAACUCAAAAAACAUAACUUUAUUCUCUUUAAGAAUUAUAGUUGAAUUUAGGAUUCAAUGGACUUUAAAGUUUCUGAGUGAAUCAUUUAAAAACCCACUCGGUUGAAAAUGGUGUUUUUGGUUUUUUUAACAUGUUCUCGUGUUGUUUUUCUGGUGAUGGAGAACAAAUAUAAAGAUAAUGAAGUCCAAAAGUGCCUUUUAUUUUAAUCGUUGAGAAUCAGGAGCAGGCAUCUGAAUCUAAACUGUACGACUAAAUAGCUCCAAUGUUGCUCUCUAUUGUUAUUGAACUGGUAAUGUUAGGUUGGGGGUGUGAGGGGCUUUAAGCUAGCGGGUGGGAGAGUAACGGGGAGGGAAAGGAAGGUGGGGUUGCUCUGCGCCAACGGGCCGCCCAAAACUCAGAGAUGAAUUUCUAAUCAUCUGCUGCCGCUCUACAGAAGGUAUGUCCUAGAAAACGGUGAAGGUUUUUGGGGAUUUAGGGUAAAAGUGGCCUCAAUAUAAACAAACAACCACUGAGAAUGUGUUUAAAAAAGCUUAAAAGAUGAGCGGAGGGGGUCUUUGAACCAAUUUCAACUAUUUUGUCUGUUCAUUUGUACAGGAGAUGCUGAGGUCUCUGCAGCGAACACAGGAGCUGCUGCUACGGCAAACACAGACAGUGAGAAGAGUAGAAAUGGAGCUACAGACACAAACGGAGAGGUUCCAGGCCCUUCAGCACAAGCACGAGGUGAUGCGUGAGCAAAGCAAGGCGAUGCAGGACAGGCUGGCCCAGCUGAGCGAGAGCUUCACGGCUUCCAAAAGCCGCUGGGACAAAGAGAAAGAUAUGUUUUUGGAUCAAAUCAAGAAUGAGCAGGAAGACCGACAAUCAGUAGAAAAAGCUCAUGAAGACCUUCAGCAGAAACAUUCUGAACUCUCCAAAAAGGCUAAGUGUCUGGUUCAUCGCACAGACAAAGAGGAGCUGUUUUCAGCAGAGGUGGAAGCCAAAGGUGAAAUCCCUGUUGAGUGCAUCCACAGCUCUGAGCGGCCUGACUGCAGUCUGCAGGACCUCCUGUCCUCUCAAGCAAAUGAGGGGAAUCAGAAGGAGACAGAAGCUGCUGAUACCGGAACAACUACAGAAAUGACAGAUAAACACCCGCAUUCACAACCAACAACUACAAUAGACGACCGGCUCCUCCAAAGUGAUGACCCAGUACCGUCCAGAGAGACUAGGACAACAAACAGUAUCAUCAACAGCUUUGAAGCAGGAGAACCAAAUCCUAGUUCAAAUUUGAUUCCAAAUGAUCCGAGUGAUGCUGCUGCUCUCCAGAGCAAUGUUAACUUUCAGACUGCAUCAAUUCGGAAGUGUGAGAGUCCAGAUAAAUUAGCACAUUUACAGACAAAUGAAGAACAUGACAAAGAAUUGGAGGAAAAUGAAGAAAAACCCAACAAACAGGAAGGCUGUAGCUUACACCAUCAGGACGAGGAAGACAUUCGUGAUGAAGAUGUGAACAAUGAAAGUGGUGUAGAAAAGAUAAGAGAUAAAGAGGCAACAGAACCACAGGGGCACAGAAACUCCGAAACACAAGGAAAUGAUCAACCAGAUGGAGACAUAAUGAAUGAAGUGGAAUGGAGAGGACAGACGGCCCAGCAUGCACCAGACCAAAAGAUGGUAGCUCAGGCCGGUACAGAUGUGACUGAGGACACAGUCCCACUGCAGGUCAAUGAGCCAAUGGCUGACGAGCCGCCUCGCUGUGAGCGCUCAGAGACUCCCUCUCAGAAAGUCACUGACAAUGAUUUUUGUCAUUUUAAUGAGGAGCACCAGGCUGAUCCGGAAGACCAUCUUCUUAGCUCAGAGGAGCCUCAGCCUCCGGGCCACGAUGCGGUCCAAACUUCAUGCGAGAAUUCUCCGUCACUUCACAAUCAGUCGGUUUGCCAGGAGUCUGACCAGCCUGCGAAUGAAAAUCCACAGAGGAAAGCAAUAGAUUUUCCUACCGAAUGUCAGGACAUUUCAACGUACUCACAUCUAAAUGUAACACCGUUAUCGGCUCACCUUCCCAUUGAAACGAGUCGAACAGAAGCUGGAGAUUUUUCAGACACUGAUUCCAUCGUGAAGCACGUCGACGAAGCUCAAGUUCAUCAGAAGUCUGUCAAAAUAAACCCAUCUAAAGCUGAACUUCAAAGCCCGUCUGAGGAUGCCGAUCAGAGGAAAGGUCCUUUCAAUGUGAAGGCAUGUGAAAACAGCACCUGUACAACUGUAAGCACAUCCGUUAGAACAUGCUGGUUAACAGAGGGGGCCGCGUACCACGACCCUGAAGCACAAACUGAACGAUAUGGAGAGCAAAUGACAAACGACACACCCAAAGACGCAGCGGAAAAAGAAACUCACCCAAAGGUUUCCAUCCAUUCCAGUCACGAGAGCAACAACUCACUGAAGAUCAGUGAUUCUUCUGUGGCCGGCAUGAAGACUUACAAUUCUUUAUUUGACUGGAACAAAGCUCGGAUUAAAACCUUGGGCACUCAAGAAAAGCCAGAUCUGCAUCACUUGAGACAGGGAGGCUUUUUUUCUGGACUAAAUUCCGUCGGAUCUGACGAGAUUCAGGCACGUCAGCCUGUCUCAGCAUCCCUGCUUAUCAAAAACAGGCAAAGCAAAGUUCCUCUGGUGAUGAUGAGAGCGUCGGACCUGCUCAGUGCCUCCAGUGGCUCUGCAGACACAGCUACCUCCAGGAAACGACAUGAGAGAGAGUGGGAAGCAAAAGGAAGGAUUUGCAGUGAAUCCUCGGCAGGAGAAACUAAGAGUACAGCUUCCAUCAGCCGUCUCCAAGAUGUUUCUGGAACUGUUGGCAAACUCCCACUGCAAAACGUACCAGAGGCUUAGCAUGACUGACUGCGCUCCGAGUCUCUCUGAGAGUGUGUCCUCAGCUGUGAAUCACUCGUGUUAAAGCGGACUCACACACUUGCACUCCUCUCGGCUUUCACCCACAUGGAAAGAACAGAGCAGACGAUCUCGGAAUUGCUGCCCUGCUGUCAAAGGUCAGCAGAGUUGAAAGGUCGCCCUGCACAUCAUUUAUAGACUCUUAAAAAAGCUUGGGCCGUAUGUCGCAGCCCACUCUCCCUUUCAAACUGUAAUCAGCCUACAAGUUGAGUUAUUUUACUCAUCCGCGAGUCUGUGGAGUGAGAAAUGAGACCAACAGGAAAGGAGAAAGAGAGGAAGAGAAGGGAUGAGGUAAAGGGAAGGAGACGAAAGCUUUGUCCUGAUAAAUGUUUAAGUUUUAUGUUUAUUCCUUUGUCAUCUUGAGUGAGCUUUUUUACCUGCAAAUGCAUGGUUUCAGUCUCUAAUAAAAACACGGAUGAAUAUGAAAAUGGGCUUUUUGAAUGGUACAGAAUCAGUAUUUAAUUGAUGCUGCUUCAAAAGCACCUCAAAUUAUGAAACAGUUAAAAAAGUUGUUAUUAUUGUGUGCUUUGACAACCUUGUGUUUGAUAAAAUUAUCAUCUUAAUGCUUGAUUUAAGGCUUGAAUGGCAAGUUUGAAAGUUUACUGAAACUUGGGUUUGCUUGCCUUCUUUUAUAAAACUGGAAGGAAAUAAAUAAAUAAAUAAAAAUUGAUAACAAUAUGGAAGUUUUUGAUGCCAGUGUGUCUCUUUCUUUUCACUGUUGCAAAAACAAUUUGGUCCUUGCAGCCACUGACUGCUGCAGGCCAUAACUAUGUGGGUCACAAGGAUGUAGUGAUCGCUAUAAAUAGAUGUACUCUAUUAAAGUUGUAUGGCAAA
rnacentral:lncRNA from 1 species